rnacentral:rRNA from 1 species
GAGUUUGAUCCUGGCUCAGGAUGAACGCUGGCGGCGUGCUUAACACAUGCAAGUCGAACGAACCUUCGGGUGAGUGGCGGACGGGUGAGUAACGCGUGGGAAUCUGCCCUCAGGAGGGGGAUAACGGCUGGAAACUGCCGCUAAUACCCCAUAUGCCGAGAGGUGAAAUGAAUUUCGCCUGAGGAUGAGCCCGCGUCUGAUUAGCUAGUUGGUGAGGUAAGAGCUCACCAAGGCAUCGAUCAGUAGCUGGUCUGAGAGGAUGAUCAGCCACACUGGGACUGAGACACGGCCCAGACUCCUACGGGAGGCAGCAGUGGGGAAUUUUCCGCAAUGGGCGAAAGCCUGACGGAGCAACGCCGCGUGAGGGAUGAAGGCCUCUGGGCUGUAAACCUCUUUUCUCAAGGAAGAAGAUCUGACGGUACUUGAGGAAUAAGCCACGGCUAAUUCCGUGCCAGCAGCCGCGGUAAUACGGGAGUGGCAAGCGUUAUCCGGAAUUAUUGGGCGUAAAGCGUCCGCAGGCGGCCCUUCAAGUCUGCUGUUAAAACGUGGAGCUUAACUCCAUCAUGGCAGUGGAAACUGUUGGGCUCGAGUGUGGUAGGGGCAGAGGGAAUUCCCGGUGUAGCGGUGAAAUGCGUAGAUAUCGGGAAGAACACCAGUGGCGAAGGCGCUCUGCUGGGCCAUAACUGACGCUCAUGGACGAAAGCCAGGGGAGCGAAAGGGAUUAGAUACCCCUGUAGUCCUGGCCGUAANCGAUGAACACUAGGUGUCGGGGGAAUCGACCCCCUCGGUGUCGUAGCCAACGCGUUAAGUGUUCCGCCUGGGGAGUACGCACGCAAGUGUGAAACUCAAAGGAAUUGACGGGGGCCCGCACAAGCGGUGGAGUAUGUGGUUUAAUUCGAUGCAACGCGAAGAACCUUACCAGGGUUUGACAUCCUGCGAACCUCUUGGAAACGAGAGGGUGCCUUCGGGAGCGCAGUGACAGGUGGUGCAUGGCUGUCGUCAGCUCGUGUCGUGAGAUGUUGGGUUAAGUCCCGCAACGAGCGCAACCCACGUCUUUAGUUGCCAGCAUUUAGUUGGGCACUCUAGAGAGACCGCCGGUGAUAAACCGGAGGAAGGUGUGGAUGACGUCAAGUCAUCAUGCCCCUUACAUCCUGGGCUACACACGUACUACAAUGCUACGGACAAAGAGCAGCAAGUUCGCGAGGACAAGCAAAUCUCAUAAACCGUGGCUCAGUUCAGAUCGUAGGCUGCAACUCGCCUACGUGAAGGAGGAAUCGCUAGUAAUCGCAGGUCAGCAUACUGCGGUGAAUACGUUCCCGGGCCUUGUACACACCGCCCGUCACACCAUGGAAGUUGGCCACGCCCGAAGCCGUUACUCCAACCCUUGUGGAGGAGGACGUCGAAGGUGGGGCUGAUGACUGGGGUGAAGUCGUAACAAGGUAGCCGUACCGGAAGGUGCGGCUGGAUCACCUCCUAA